GGGCCUGUAGCUCAGUUGGUAGAGCGCCUCGUUUACACCGAGGAUGUCGGGGGUUCGAGUCCCUCCGGGCCCA
rnacentral:tRNA from 2 species